AUUGAACGCUAGCGGGAUGCCUUACACAUGCAAGUCGAACGGAGUGGCGAACGGGUGAGUAAUGUAUCGGCACGUUCCCAGUAGCGGGGGAUAAGUACGCGAAAGCGUAGCUAAUACCGCAUACUUUGGGCGCGGCCGAUAUCGGGUGAGCUAGGUGGUGGGGUAACGUCACACCCAGGCGACGAUCCGUAGCUGGUUUGAGAGGACGACCAGCCACUCUGGGACUGAGACACGGCCCAUACUCCUACGGUAGGCAGCAGUGGGGAAUUUUGGACAAUGGGGGAAACCCUGAUCCAGCCAGCCCGCGUGUGCGAUGAAGGCCUUCGGGUUGUAAAGCACUUUUGGCAGGAAAGCGGUACCUGCAGAAUAAGCACCGGCUAACUACGUGCCAGCAGCCGCGGUAAUAC
rnacentral:rRNA from 1 species